ACAUUGUUGACGAGUCCCAAACAGGACGAAACCAGCUGUCCAGUGC
rnacentral:hammerhead_ribozyme from 1 species